AGGGGAAAAGAAAUAAACUCUCAAAUUUUAUUAGUUCCCAAUUUCCAAUAAUAAUCAUAAUAGACUCUCUAAUAAAAUUCCCAGAUAACAUAGGUAUUCAUACAACAACAACUAAGCCUUAACCCCAAAUUAGUUGAGUUUUGCUAUAUGGAUCCUUUUUUGAAAUUCAGCUUUGUUGGGCACCAAGUCCACAUCAAUACCAGACAUCAGUAUUUAUAGUAUAACAAUAUUAAUCUUACUACUACUACUACUAGGAUUAAGUACCUCAAAAUAAGAAAAUACUAACCAAUCUAAUUAGGAACAUAAAACCAACACUAACUUCCAAAAUAAAAUGCUACUUCCUAAAAUUAGUAGACUUAAAAGACCUAGUAGAAGUUCCUGCAUAAUUAUUCAAUUAGUUACAUGCAAGCAGUGCAGCUGAAGAAAUAGCACCUUAAGGAA
rnacentral:misc_RNA from 1 species